rnacentral:rRNA from 1 species
CCUACGGGAGGCAGCAGUAGGGAAUAUUGCUCAAUGGGGGAAACCCUGAAGCAGCAACGCCGCGUGGAGGAUGAAGGUUUUCGGAUUGUAAACUUCUUUUGUUAGAGAAGAUAAUGACGGUAUCUAACGAAUAAGCACCGGCUAACUCCGUGCCAGCAGCCGCGGUAAUACGGAGGGUGCAAGCGUUACUCGGAAUCACUGGGCGUAAAGAGCGCGUAGGCGGGAUAGCAAGUCAGAUGUGAAAUCCUAUGGCUUAACCAUAGAACUGCAUUUGAAACUGUUAUUCUAGAGUAUGGGAGAGGUAGGUGGAAUUCUUGGUGUAGGGGUAAAAUGCGUAGAGAUCAAGAGGAAUACUCAUUGCGAAGGCGACCUGCUAGAACAUAACUGACGCUGAUGCGCGAAAGCGUGGGGAGCAAACAGGAUUAGAUACCCCAGUAGUC